UACGGAGGGUGCAAGCGUUAUCCGGAAUCACUGGGUUUAAAGGGUGCGUAGGCGGUUAGAUAAGUUAGAGGUGAAAGGUUGUCGCUUAACGAUAAAAUUGCCUUUAAUACUGUUUGACUUGAAUUAGGUUAAGGUAGGCGGAAUGUGACAUGUAGCGGUGAAAUGCAUAGAUAUGUCAUGGAACACCAAUUGCGAAGGCA
rnacentral:rRNA from 1 species